rnacentral:rRNA from 1 species
UCCCCCCUCUGGCGGCGUGCUUAACACAUGCAAGUCGAACGGAAAGGCCCUGCUUUUGUGGGGUGCUCGAGUGGCGAACGGGUGAGUAACACGUGAGUAACCUGCCCUUGACUUUGGGAUAACUUCAGGAAACUGGGGCUAAUACCGGAUAGGAGCUCCUGCUGCAUGGUGGGGGUUGGAAAGUUUCGGCGGUUGGGGAUGGACUCGCGGCUUAUCAGCUUGUUGGUGGGGUAGUGGCUUACCAAGGCUUUGACGGGUAGCCGGCCUGAGAGGGUGACCGGCCACAUUGGGACUGAGAUACGGCCCAGACUCCUACGGGAGGCAGCAGUGGGGAAUAUUGCACAAUGGGAGGAAGCCUGAUGCAGCAACGCCGCGUGCGGGAUGAAGGCCUUCGGGUUGUAAACCGCUUUCGCCUGUGACGAAGCGUGAGUGACGGUAAUGGGUAAAGAAGCACCGGCUAACUACGUG